AGCGUCAUUUCAACCCUCAAGCCCCCGGGUUUGGUGUUGGGGAUCGGCUCUGCCUCACGGCGGUGCCGCCCCCGAAAUACAUUGGCGGUCUCGCUGCAGCCUCCAUUGCGUAGUAGCUAACACCUCGCAACUGGAACGCGGCGCGGCCAUGCCGUAAAACCCC
rnacentral:misc_RNA from 1 species